rnacentral:lncRNA from 1 species
AGAAUACAAAGUUUUAUACAUGAUAGCUUCUAAUAAAAAUGCUCACUUAAAGGACAUUGAAGUAAUGAGAAGUUUGUUAGAUUUAUCACCUUUGUGUUUUGUAGCAUCUUAUUUUUUUAUGCUUUUAGAAGAGAACAAGUCUGAUCAAGGUUGACAAUAAGAAAAUAGUAGGGAACUAGUACAUGUUGUACACAUAAGCAAUCUAUUAAUUUUAUAGAUUCUUUUGAAAAUAUUUUAUAAAAAUAGUUAAGAUUUAAUUUGUAUAUCAAAAUCUAAUAUAUGCUAAGUAGAUAUGACAUGGUAUAAAUAAGCACCUCCUGUGUCUUCUUUAAAAUAGUGUCGUAAUUGAUGCAGAUUAAAAUUGGCAAGAUGAGUAUGGAUUGGCAAAAGAAUUUUAAUUGUAUCAAAAGAUCCCAUAGUAACAUUGAAGUUUAUCUUUAAUAUAUUAGUAUAUGUUUAUGAGAUUAUUCAAAAAAAAUUUAAGUUUUAUCAUUCAAACU